GACGAACGCUGGCGGCGUGCUUAACACAUGCAAGUCGAACGGAAAGGCCCUGCUUGCAGGGUACUCGAGUGGCGAACGGGUGAGUAACACGUGGGUGAUCUGCCCCGCACUUCGGGAUAAGCCUGGGAAACUGGGUCUAAUACCGGAUAGGAGCCAUUUUUAGUGUGAUGGUUGGAAAGUUUUUUCGGUGUAGGAUGAGCUCGCGGCCUAUCAGCUUGUUGGUGGGGUAAUGGCCUACCAAGGCGGCGACGGGUAGCCGGCCUGAGAGGGUGGACGGCCACAUUGGGACUGAGAUACGGCCCAGACUCCUACGGGAGGCAGCAGUGGGGAAUAUUGCACAAUGGGCGCAAGCCUGAUGCAGCGACGCCGCGUGGGGGAUGACGGCCUUCGGGUUGUAAACUCCUUUCGCUAAGGACGAAGCUUUUUGUGACGGUACCUAGAUAAGAAGCACCGGCUAACUACGUG
rnacentral:rRNA from 1 species